GCCUGAUUGGCUCAGUAGGUUAAGCGACAGACUUCAGCUCAGGUCAUGAUCUUGCAGUUUGUGAGUUCGAGACCUGCAUCAGGCU
rnacentral:tRNA from 1 species